CCCCUCAAAGAUGAAGAUCUUACCUUGUAUAUUCUUGGUGGCUUAAGUCCUGAGUAUGAUGUGCUGGUGGUUUCUGUUACCUCUAGAGUUGAACCCAUAUCCCUUGUUGACUUACACGGGUUGUUGCUAAGCCAUGAGA